rnacentral:rRNA from 1 species
UACAGAGGUCUCAAGCGUUGUUCGGAUUCAUUGGGCGUAAAGGGUGCGUAGGCGGCGCGGUAAGUCGGGUGUGAAAUCUUGGAGCUUAACUCCGAAACUGCAUUCGAUACUGCCGUGCUUGAGGACUGGAGAGGAGACUGGAAUUUACGGUGUAGCGGUGAAAUGCGCAGAUAUCAGGAGGAACACCGGUGGCGAAGGCGGGUCUCUGGGCCGAAAUUGACGCUGAGGAGCGAAAGCGUGGGGAGCGAACAGG